ACACUUUACAAUGCGGGAAACCGCGAUAAGGGAACCCCGAGUGCCAGCAUCAAAUGUUGGCUGUCCAGAUGAUUAAAAAUCAUUUGUUAGCAAGGGCCGGGCAAGACCGGUGCCAGCCGCCGCGGUAACACCGGCGGCCCGAGUGGUAGCCGUUUUUAUUGGGUCUAAAGGGUCCGUAGCCGGCCUGAUAAGUCCUUUGGGAAAUCUGGCAGCUUAACUGUCAGGCUUCUAAGGGAUACUGUCAGGCUUGGGACCGGAAGAGGUAAGGGGUACUCCAGGGGUAGGAGUGAAAUCUUGUAAUCCCUGGGGGACCAUCUGUGGCGAAGGCGCCUUACCAGAACGGGUCCGACGGUGAGGGACGAAAGCUAGGGGAGCAAACCGGAUUAGAUACCCGGGUAGUCCUAGCUGUAAACGAUGCUCGCUAGGUGUCAGACACGGUGCGACCGUGUUUGGUGCCGCAGGGAAGCCGUUAAGCGAGCCACCUGGAAGUACGUCGCAAGGC
rnacentral:rRNA from 1 species